CGCCAAUAGGUGCUACAUAGCACAGUCCAGUUAUGUUACUGAUGAAGGGGCCGAGGCGCUGGAUCAACUUGCCAUCCUGGGACCAGAUGCCAACCGUCUGGUCAAAGGAGCCUGAAAGCACCCUGCAAAUGAAUUCCCAGUCCAACCAUGACAACACAAUUCAGAGGAAAAGACACCUCUUUCUGCCUGCACCUUCACAACAACAGGGGCAAAGUUCCUAUUAGAAGCAUGUACAUACGUAGAAGGAUGAAAAAAAAAAAGGCCAUAUGCAAAACACCUUCAUCUAGCUUAUACCUUGUGGUUUCUUGCUGGCGCACCAGAAUCAAAUGGGUGAUGGCUGCAUUAUGGGCACGUGAGAUGCACUGCUUCUUUGUCAGGCCUUUUCUGCCUGAGGUCUGUCCUAGGGUCUCAUGAGAUGCCACUCUUACCAGAAUACGGUCAAGCACUGUACCACCUGGAGCCCAAACCAGCACAGAGCUGUCAUUGGAGGCAGAGAAGAGGAGCCGUGCCUGUAUCCAGGAAAGGAAGUGGG